rnacentral:rRNA from 1 species
AAUAGAUACCCGGGUAGUCCACGCCGUAAACGAUGAGUGCUAAGUGUUAGAGGGUUUCCGCCCUUUAGUGCUGCAGCAAACGCAUUAAGCACUCCGCCUGGGGAGUACGGUCGCAAGACUGAAACUCAAAGGAAUUGACGGGGGCCCGCACAAGCGGUGGAGCAUGUGGUUUAAUUCGAAGCAACGCGAAGAACCUUACCAGGUCUUGACAUCCUCUGACACUCCUAGAGAUAGGACUUUCCCCUUCGGGGGACAGAGUGACAGGUGGUGCAUGGUUGUCGUCAGCUCGUGUCGUGAGAUGUUGGGUUAAAUCCCGCAACGAGCGCAACCCUUGAUCUUAGUUGCCAGCAUUUAGUUGGGCACUCUAAGGUGACUGCCGGUGACAAACCGGAGGAAGGUGGGGAUGACGUCAAAUCAUCAUGCCCCUUAUGACCUGGGCUACACACGUGCUACAAUGGAUGGUACAAAGGGCAGCGAAACCGCGAGGUUAAGCCAAUCCCAUAAAACCAUUCUCAGUUCGGAUUGCAGGCUGCAA